UAAAGAGGCAAGAUAAAGCUAGGUUAUUGGU
rnacentral:piRNA from 1 species